rnacentral:lncRNA from 1 species
AACGCCUCUCAAACCCCGUUGCACACCGUUCCCAGGAAACAUGUCGUUCAAAACGGAAACCGUAGCAAAACGGUGCACACCGGUUUGAGCUUGAACUUGCCCCAGUUCACUCAUAUUAUGACAGAUGGCAGAAGUGGACGCGACGCUUGCAGAUUGUAAACAAAGUUUUUGAUUGGCCAAACGAAUGCCUACGUCAUCCACAACUCUGGCAGACGCGUCGCAUACUUGCAGCGCGUUCUGUCGCUGAUUAUGAGAGCGAUCUAGUUUUUCGUUGCGGCGCUGUUUGCAACAAAUGCGAUUAUCAGCGCUAGGCAUGUGGAAAUUGGCAUAUUUCAGAAGGACGCCGUGAAAAUGUUUCAUCUGAGAGAUGGGCACAGCAAAAAGCAGGAUGAAAAAAGUCGCACCUGUGUCAGUGACAGAGGAAAACGUCUGUAGCAGCGGCAUUCACCGGGAUGAAAGUCAGCUGUUUGGUCCCUCAAACACCAAAACCUCAGAUCGGCGUCUGACAAUCAGAAGGAGAGCCCAGGCAGACUGUAACAGCGAGGGGCAGGACUCUGAGUUUUCAGCCGACGAUCUCGCGGUGGAAGUGGACAGAAUCCUCGCUGAGUGUGUCAGCACUGAUAUAUCACUGAACAGGACUUCUUAUAAGAUGCCAAUGUUUGGAUCGAACUCUUUAGGGCUUUACUAUGCCAGAGGCCAAGACCGCAACAACGUCUACAGUGGCAGUACACGUGACAAAAAUGAAAUGAACACAGUGAACAAACCAACCUCCAUUCAUGAAAAGGUCAGGCCUCCACAGGACCUGCUGAGCUGUGCCAACAUAGAGAACACAGCAACAGCUUCGGGUUCUGGAAUUGGUGGUGGUUCAUCUGUGGCCUUGCCUAUCAUGUAUGAUGCUUCAGAAGAGGACCUCAUGAACACAAUCGAGAGAGAGUUAGGUUAACAACCACGAUGAUCUUCUGAGACAACUAAAAGAGAGUUGAUGUAUGAGAAGGAUUAUUGAUAAAUCACUACAAAGUAUUAGGAUCAUUUUUAUAUUAAUCACUGAUGUUUUGGCAUGAAAUGUUUGAUUUUAAGAUAUAUAUAUAUAUAGGCCUACCUAAAGUGAUUUCAUUUCAGAUUACAGCUGAGUCCAUGCUCUCAGGAAGGCUGCUAAAGAAGCCUGUAAUUCUUUGAGAGACUGGAUAUGCCUUAUGGUUCAGGAUGAGGUUUAUUCAGUUUAUUAAGUCAUUAUUCUAAUAAAAAGGAAAGAAAUAAAACACAUACUUUGCUUUUGACAUUUUUGAAGAAUAAUAUUCUGUAAAGCAGCUUGCCUGAGAGAGAAAAACAUAUGGAGUGGAUAAUUUAGUUCCAUUUCCUGACCACAUUUCCAAAAUCCUCCACCCGUCUAAGACAGGAAUUCACAUCAGCAGUUUUAGAGUUUUGGAGGCCCUCUAACUGCCCUAAACUACCGUGAUGUAUGUUCACCAAAUUGAAUAACCUCCAAAAUGCAGAAUACAAUUUCUUUGGAGGCACAGUGAAAAUCAUGCAGAAUCUGGUAAUGUGUAGCUUUAAUUAAAAUAGUUUGGUUAAUUUUAGAUAGACCCUAUUAGUAGCAGCUUAAAAAAAACUACAUUUAAUGUGAAAAAUAUGUUUGUUUUGUCAACACCGAAAGCUGUGGUAUUUUCUUUCUUUCUGACAGUUCAGUAGGAU